CGGAACGGGUGAGUAAUGCGUGACCAACCUGCCCCAUGCUCCAGAAUAGCUCUUGGAAACGGGUGGUAAUGCUGGAUGCUCCAACUUGACGCAUGUCUUGUUGGGAAAGUGUUUAGUGGCAUGGGAUGGGGUCGCGUCCUAUCAGCCUGUAGGCGGGGUAAUGGCCCACCUAGGCUUCGACGGGUAGCCGGCCUGAGAGGGCGGACGGCCACAUUGGGACUGAGAUACGGCCCAGACUCCUACGGGAGGCAGCAGGG
rnacentral:rRNA from 1 species